rnacentral:rRNA from 1 species
GACGAACGCUGGCGGCGUGCUUAACACAUGCAAGUCGAACGGUGAAAGUGGAGCUUGCUCCGCUGGAUCAGUGGCGAACGGGUGAGUAACACGUGGGCAACCUGCCCCAGACUUCGGGAUAACUCCUCGAAAGAGGUGCUGAUACCGGAUACGAAGCCCCCAGGCAUCUGGGGGCUUGGAAAGUUUUUCGGUCUGGGAUGGGCCCGCGGCCUAUCAGCUUGUUGGUGAGGUAACGGCUCACCAAGGCGACGACGGGUAGCCGGCCUGGGAGGGCGACCGGCCACGCUGGGACUGAGACACGGCCCAGACUCCUACGGGAGGCAGCAGUGGGGAAUAUUGCGCAAUGGGCGAAAGCCUGACGCAGCAACGCCGCGUGAGGGAUGACGGCCUUCGGGUUGUAAACCUCUUUCAGUAGGGACGAAGCGCAAGUGACGGUACCUACAGAAGAAGGACCGGCCAACUACGUGCCAGCAGCCGCGGUAA